rnacentral:rRNA from 1 species
CCUACGGGCGGCAGCAGUGGGGGAUAUUGCACAAUGGGGGAAACCCUGAUGCAGCAACGCCGCGUGAGCGAUGACGGUUUUCGGUUUGUAAAGCUCUGUCAGCAGUGAAGAAAAUGACGGUAGCUGACUAAGAAGCCCCGGCUAACUACGUGCCAGCAGCCGCGGUAAUACGUAGGGGGCAAGCGUUGUCCGGAUUUACUGGGUGUAAAGGGUGCGUAGGCGGCGUUGCAAGUCAGAAGUGAAAUCCAGGGGCUCAACCCCGGGACUGCAUUUGGAACUGGGGGGCUUGAGUGUAGGAGAGGUAGGCGGAAUUCCCGGUGUAGCGGUGAAAUGCGUAGAGAUCAGGAGGAACACCAGUGGCGAAGGCGGCCUGCUGGGCGAUGACUGACGCUGAGGCUCGAAAGCGUGGGUAGCAAACAGGAUUAGAUACCCGUGUAGUC